GGAAACAAAGCGAGACUAUCAUUUUUUUCUGAUCAAAAGAGCUUCAUAUUGUUAAUCAGCAUCUUUUUCUUAAACAAAAAAGAGUUCAAUAGCGAAAUCGUUUCUGUUCCAUAGCGAUCCAUCCACAACGAAGACAUCGGAUGUUGAAUUGAGUGAUUCUAUUUGAGAUGAGCAGUGAGAGCAUCAUAUUGUUUAUCAGCAUUUUUUCGAAAAAAGAGUCCAAUAGGCAGUGUCGAUUCUGUUCCACAUCGAUCCAUCGUCAGUCAACGAAGACAUGGAAGUCAUGUAUCUUAAUGAUCCUUCUUUACUGGUGAAGUCUUGUAUCUGGAUAAAAUACAACUAAUCGAAGAAGCUUGAAGUCUAAAACACUAAAGAUAAGAUUUCUCAUCUAUCUAUUGUCCUUUUAAUCUCCAUCGGAACUUUAUUAAUCAUUGCAGUUUAUAUAUAAUGUCACAAUACUAAUAUAGUACUAUAUGUUAUAUUUCUCUAGACAUUGUAUAGCAGGAUUCCAAAUUCGUUUCAAUCAUCAGAAAUGGAAGCAGAGGUUGAAAUGGAAGCAGAGGUUGACUAUCCGAAACAACAGCAAAUGCCUUUCUUCAGAUUUUCUAAAACGCAAUGUGAGGUCAGGAAGAUCAGCUAGGUCAUCUUGUGUACGCUUUGAGCAAAGAUGAUUUCAAGAGAUUCACCAAAGGAUGCGUUGAAUUGCUUCCACGUGUGGAUGGUUUUGACCUGAAUACACCAGUUGCUUCUGCGAGGUUUCAACUCUGAAAGAGGUAAAAGAUGAUACGUUGAAUGUAAUUGGGUUGAUGAUGGUAUGAUUUGAUGAUGAUGACUUGGAUUGGGGUGGUAAAGAACGCAGAGCUA